AGCGAAGUUGCCUUCGUGUAUCCCCUCCCUUAUAUAUAAAACCUCCACAUAAAUACAUCCAAGGAAAGAACAUGUUGCUCAAAGUUUCAGAGAGGGGAAUAAGUGGAGAUCUUGAUUCAAAGUUGUGAAAGAUUUGGCCAAUAUUAUGUCCCAUCCUUUGAUGAAAGACGGGACAACGCAAUCAAAACAACGUCUUCUGGGACAGAUCAAUAUUCUGUCCCAGCUUUUGAUGAAAGUCGAGAUAAUGCAAUGAAGACAACAUCUUCUUGGAGAAGAAGUUAAGCCAACGCAGGGUAGAGGAUCAAAGAAGGAAACAAAAGAAUAUUCAAUUGCUAUUACAAAUCAGAAUUAAGGAACUCUUUUUCAAAGAAACUGUUGUCAUGUCUAUAAAUAUAUUGAGCUCAUCAAAAUAAUGUCUAGCAACUAUUGUUGAGAAGUAAUAGCUCUUUACUAGAGCUAGCCAAUGUAACUUGAAAAAAUAUAGAGAGAGCUCACUGAAUCUUCUUUUUAUCUCUUAUUUUAAUCCUCGAAAUUUGAUUUGAAUGUUAUCUAUCUAUUAUUCAAAUACUAUCUCUUUUACUUGUGUUAA